UAUUAGUCCCUAUUUGCUUUGGUAUGUUUGGUUUUAUCUUGGGUUUGAUUGUUUAGCUGGUUAGUUGGAGUUUUUGGUAUUGGCAAGUAACAGUGUUAGUGGUGACUGUUUGGUUUCUGAUUUUUUUUAAUUGCUUCUUUUAGUUUGGUUUUUUCCUAUUUUUUUCUUUUCCCUCUUUCUGUUGUAUGCAAUUAACAUUUUUGUAAUAGCCUUUCCUUGAAACCACAACCAUUUCAGUUCUCUGCCUUUCCUUGGUUUUAAAAUUUAUAUUCUCUGAAGUAAAUUUACUUUCUCUGUACAGAAUAUUUUCAGCUUCACUUUGUACCUCAAGGAACCAGGACACCUCAUGGCCCUGCUCCUGAUGCCCACUGGGGAGAGCCUAGACAGCGAACAUACAUGGUGUCUGAAUCCGACACAACCUCUGGUGCGUCACCCUACAGAACCUACACUAUGUCUGGAACGGACACAACCUCUGGUGUGACACCCUACAGAACCUACACUAUGUCUGGAACGGACACAACCUCUGGUGUGACACCCUACAGAACCUACACUGUGUCUGGAACGGACACAACCUCUGAUUCUUUUAAGCUUCCAUUCUUACCCCAUGGAACCAGUACACCUCGUGGUCCUGCUCCAGCUGCACACUGGGGAGCACCUAGACAACGAACGUACGUGGUGUCUGAAUCCGACACAACCUCUAGUGUGACACCCUACAGAAUUUAUAGCAUCUCUGAAACCAACAUACCCCACUGUGUGGUACCUAGCAGAAUCUACAGUUUGUCUGAAACCAACAUACCCUCCAGUGUGACACCAGGCAGUACAGGUGUUGGGUCAUCAAUGGACAUAUCCUCCCAUGUGAUACCCGGCAGACCUUACCGUGUGUCUUCAGCCAACACAUCCAAUGUGACACCCAGCAGAAGAGGCAUUGGGUCAUCACUGGAUACAUUCAUCAACCUAAUACCAACCACAACCGAUACUGGGUCAUCAAUGGAUGGGGUCAUCAAUGGAUGCAUCCUCACGCAUGACACAAAAUAGAACUUUUACCGUGUCUUCAGUCAACAUGCCCUCCAGUUUUACAGAGAACAGAACUGGUACUGGGUCUUCAGUCAACACAUCCUUCCAUUUCUGACCACACAGAACCAGUUCUUUGCCUUCAGUCAGAUCUUCCAGCCAGGAUGUCUCAUCCAGCACCAGGAGAAAUCAGGGAAUUUAAUUAUUGGAGUCCUGGUCAUGUCCGUUUUCAUAACCAAUAUCAUACCUUCUCUUCAAAUGGGAAAAACUCCAACAAUGUAGAAAGAGCUAAUUAAAGUACAGUUGUACCUACCUUUUGUUGUAGUUUAUUGUACGUGAUUUUUUUGUCCAUAAUUUCACAUUUUUAGAAAAUGUGCAUUCAUAUCUUCACAUUUCUGUGUUUCUAAUUUGUAUUAUACCAAAACACUUUUUAUUGCAGCUGUUAAUUUUUAUGUAGUGUACUAAAAUAUCAUAAAACAACAUCUUUAG
rnacentral:lncRNA from 1 species